GAUGAACGCUAGCGGCAGGCCUAAUACAUGCAAGUCGGACGGGAUUCAGGAGCUUGCUUCUGAUGAGAGUGGCGCACGGGUGCGUAACACGUAUGUAACCUACCUUUAUCAGGGGGAUAGCCUCUCGAAAGAGAGAUUAAGCCCGCAUAAAAUCACAGCACAGCUUUUUUUAAUGUUCAAAUAUUUAUAGGAUAAAGAUGGGCAUGCGGAACAUUAGCUAGAUGGCGGGGUAACGGCCCACCAUGGCGACGAUGUUUAGGGGAUCUGAGAGGAUGGCCCCCCACACUGGUACUGAGACACGGACCAGACUCCUACGGGAGGCAGCAGUAAGGAAUAUUGGUCAAUGGGCGGAAGCCUGAACCAGCCAUGCCGCGUGCAGGAAGACGGCCCUACGGGUUGUAAACUGCUUUUAUACGGGAGUAAACCCAGAUACGUGUAUCUGGCUGAAUGUACUGUAAGAAUAAGGAUCGGCUAACUCCGUG
rnacentral:rRNA from 1 species